AGUCAAGGAACGAAGAGCAUACGAUGGAUGCCUUGGCGCGUUGCGGCGAUGAAGGACGUGGUGAACUGCGAAAAGCUCCGGGGAGCCGUACACAGGCUGUGAGCCGGAGAUGUCCGAAUGGGGGAACCCGCCAGUCGUCAUGGGCUGGCAUUCCUGGCGGAAUCCAUAGGCCAGGAAAGCGCACCUGGGGAACUGAACCAUCUCAGUACCCAGAGGAAGAGAAAUCAAACGAGAUGCCCGGAGUAGCGGCGAGCGAAAGGGGCAGAGCCAAAACCGUCUGGACGCAACAGGGUGUGUCCGAUGUCCAGGCGGGGUUGUGGGGGAUGUGGGGUCUUGACACACAGAGACCGCAGACGCAGCAUGCGCGACAGGAACGAGCCUGGAACGGCCGGCCAGAGCAGGUGAGAGCCCUGUACUGGAAGCGCCAGUUGGUCUGUGCACAUCACCCCGAGUACCACGGGACACGAGCAACCUUGUGGGAAGCUGGGAGGCCCACCUUCCAAGGCUAAAUACGUCAACGCGACCGAUAGUGAACCAGUACCGUGAGGGAACGGUGAAAAGAACCCCCGUAAAGGGAGUGAAAGAGACCCUGAAAUCGUAUGUUUACAAGCGGUCAGCGCGUGUCUUCGGAUGCGCAAUGGCGUGCCUAUUGCAUAAUGAGCCGGCGAGUUCUCGGUGGCAGCCAGGUUAACGCAGGAAGCGGGAGCCGGAGCGAAAGCGAGUCUGAAAAGGGCGGUGAGUUGCCAGUGAGAGACCCGAAGCCGAGUGAGCUAUCCAUGGUCAGGCUGCAGCCUUCGUAACAGGAGGUGAAGGGCCGAACCCACGCGGGUUGAAAACUGCGGGGAGGAACGGUGGAUAGGGGUGAAAGGCCAAUCAAACUCGGAGAUAGCUGGUUCUCCCCGAAAUUGCUGUAGGGUGAGCCUCUGGUGAUGCGUCAUGGGGGUAGAGCACUGAUUGGGUUAGGGCCCGUCGCAGGGUACCGUCCCCAGGCAAACUGCGAAUCCCAUGAACGGCGAGCCAGGGAGUGAGACGGUGGGGGAUAAGCUUCAUCGUCGAAAGGGUAAGAGCCCGGACCGCCAGCUAAGGUCCCCAACGAUCUGUUAAGUGGAGAAGGAUGUGGAUGUGCCCAGACAGCCAGGAGGUUGGCUUAGAAGCAGCCAUCCUUAAAAGAAAGCGUAAUAGCUCACUGGUCAAGUGCGUCUGCGCCGAAAAUGUAAGGGGGCUGAAACAGAUGACCGAAGCUGCGGAGGGGUCGCAAGACCUCUGGUAGGGGAGCGUUCUGUGGGCAGAGAAGGGAAGGCGAGAGCCGACGUGGAGCGCACAGAAGUGAAGCUGCCGGCAUGAGUAACGAGAAAACGGGUGCGAGACCCGUUCGCCGAAAUUCUAAGGGUUCCUUGGGCAAGGCGAAUCCGCCCAGGGUGAGUCGGGGCCUAAGCCGAGGCCGCGAGGCGUAGGUGAUGGCAAACCGGUGAAGAAUCCGGUACCACCCGUUGGUUGUUUGAGCGAUGGGGGGGACGGGGUGCGAGAGACCAGCCUGUGAGUGGUAGGACAGGUGGAACCGGGGAGACUGGCGUGGAGGCAAAUCCCCACGCGGAAGGUUGAGCCGGGAGGCCGGGUCAUUGGACCAGAAGUGGUUGCGCUGGCAUCCCCAAGAAAAGCCCUCUAGUGAGACCAAGAGGUGCCCGUACCCGAAACCGACACAGGUAGAAACGGAAGACCUCCGAAGGCGUAUGAGUGAACCCUCGUUAAGGAACUAGGCAAAUUGACCUCGUAACUUCGGGAGAAGAGGUCCCGCGGUAGGGUGAGCAGCCCGAGGCGGGGGCACAGACCAGGCCCUGGCGACUGUUUACUAAAAACACAGGUCUCUGCGAAGGCGUAAAGCCGCGGUAUAGGGACUGACGCCUGCCCGGUGCCGGAAGGUUAAGAGGAGGGGUUAGCGUAAGCGACGCUCUGAAUCGAAGCCCCGGUAAACGGCGGCCGUAACUAUAACGGUCCUAAGGUAGCGAAAUUCCUUGUCGGGUAAGUUCCGACCUGCACGAAUGGCGUAACGAUUUGGGCACUGUCUCAACGAGGGGCUCAGUGAAAUUGUAGUCUCGGUGAAGAUGCCGGGUACCCACGACUAGACGGAAAGACCCCGUGCACCUUUACUAUAGCCUGGCGUUGGGUUUUAGAGGAGAUUGUGUAGGAUAGGUGGGAGUCGAGGAAGCGGCCACGCUAGUGGUCGUGGAGACGCCGUUGAAAUACCACCCUGUCUGCUGUGAAAUCCUCACUGACCGCCGUGAAGCCGGCGGCAGGACCGGGUCAGGUGGGUAGUUUGACUGGGGCGGUCACCUCCCAAAAGGUAACGGAGGUGUGCAAUGGUGCCCUCAGGCUGUAUAGAAAUCAGUCGGCGAGUAUAAAGGCAGAAGGGCGCUUGACUGCGAGACGGACACGUCGAGCAGGGGCGAAAGCCGGUCUUAGUGAUCCGGUGGUGCUGCGUGGCAGGGCCAUCGCUCAACGGAUAAAAGGUACGCCGGGGAUAACAGGCUGAUCCUGCCCGAGAGUUCCCAUCGACGGCAGGGUUUGGCACCUCGAUGUCGGCUCAUCGCAUCCUGGAGCUGGAGCAGGUUCCAAGGGUUUGGCUGUUCGCCAAUUAAAGCGGUACGCGAGCUGGGUUUAGAACGUCGUGAGACAGUUCGGUCCCUAUCUG
rfam:Bacterium TASB14 DNA, scaffold: TASB14_scaffold_6.